UUUUGUAGAUAAUUUAAGGUCUAGCCUGCCCACUGAAAUUUUAAAUGGCCGUGGUAUUUUGACCGUGCUAAGGUAGCAUAAUCAUUAGUUUUUUAAUUAAAAACUGGAAUGAAAGGUUGGAUGAGAAAAUAGCUGUCUCUAUUAAAUUUAAUUAGAAUUUUAUUUUUAAGUUAAAAAGCUUAAUUAUUAUUAAAAGACGAGAAGACCCUAUAGAGUUUAAUUAUUUAGUAAAAAUUAUAUUUUAGUAUUAAUUUAUUUAUUUUAUUAAAUAAUUUAAUUGGGGUGAUUGAAAAAUUUAAUUAACUUUUUUUAUUUAAGAACAUUAAUUUAUGAGUAAAUGAUCCAAUAUUUUUGAUUAUAAGAUAAAAUUACCUUAGGGAUAACAGCGUAAUUUUUUUAGAAAGUUCAUAUUAAAAAAAAAGAUUGCGACCUCGAUGUUGGAUUAAAAUAAAUUUUUGGUGUAGAAGCUAAAAUAUUAGGUCUGUUCGACCUUUAAAAUUUUA
rnacentral:rRNA from 1 species